rnacentral:rRNA from 1 species
UACGUAGGGUGCAAGCGUUUGUCCGGAAUUAUUGGGCGUAAAGAGCUCGUAGGCGGUUUGUCGCGUCUGCUGUGAAAACCCGAGGCUCAACCCCGGGCUUGCGGUCGAUACGGGCAGGCUAGAGUUCGGUAGGGGAGACUGGAAUUCCUGGUGUAGCGGUGAAAUGCGCAGAUAUCAGGAGGAACACCGGUGGCGAAGGCGGGUCUCUGGGCCGAUACUGACGCUGAGGAGCGAAAGCGUGGGGAGCGAACAGG